GAGGAGCUUGCUCCUUGGAUCAGUGGCGAACGGGUGAGUAACACGUGAGCAAUCUGCCCUUGACUCUGGGAUAACUGCGGGAAACUGUAGCUAAUACCGGAUAUUACCUUGGAAGGCAUCUUCUGGGGUGGAAAGAAUUUUGGUCAAGGAUGAGCUCGCGGCCUAUCAGCUAGUUGGUGAGGUAAUGGCUCACCAAGGCGACGACGGGUAGCCGGCCUGAGAGGGUGACCGGCCACACUGGGACUGAGACACGGCCCAGACUCCUACGGGAGGCAGCAGUGGGGAAUAUUGCACAAUGGGCGCAAGCCUGAUGCAGCAACGCCGCGUGAGGGACGAAGGCCUUCGGGUUGUAAACCUCUUUUAGUAGGGAAGAAGCGACUGGGUUUUCCUGGAAGUGACGGUACCUGCAGAAAAAGCACCGGCUAACUACGUGCCAGCAGCCGCGGUAAUACGUAGGGUGCAAGCGUUGUCCGGAAUUAUUGGGCGUAAAGAGCUCGUAGGCGGUUUGUCGCGUCUGCUGUGAAAACCCGAGGCUCAACCUCGGGCCUGCAGUGGGUACGGGCAGACUAGAGUGCGGUAGGGGAGAUUGGAAUUCCUGGUGUAGCGGUGGAAUGCGCAGAUAUCAGGAGGAACACCAAUGGCGAAGGCAGAUCUCUGGGCCGUAACUGACGCUGA
rnacentral:rRNA from 1 species